AUGCUGGACAAGUCUGGUUCGGAGAUCAACCCCAACAACUUCAUCGACAUGCAGCGCAAGUGGAAAGAUCCAAAGACCGCCAAAUACUACGACUCCUUGGCCGAUGUUACAGGCGGCGUCAUCCACCCAUUCUACGAAACCAUGAAGAAGAAGAUGGACAGGUCAGACCACAAACUGUGGGAGACCAGCCCGCUGCCAGACAACCUCAUCACCUAUGCACGAAUAGAUGCGUACGCAAAGUACAAGUCAUGGAAGACAAUCGACAACAUCGUGACAGGUUGGGAUAUUUCAAAAGAGCAGGAGGCUGACCCCUACUACCACUGCAACUUCACGGGAUGA
rnacentral:rRNA from 1 species